rnacentral:rRNA from 1 species
GUGGGGAAUAUUGGACAAUGGGCGAAAGCCUGAUCCAGCCAUGCCGCGUGAGUGAUGAAGGCCCUAGGGUUGUAAAGCUCUUUCACCGGGGAAGAUAAUGACGGUACCCGGAGAAGAAGCCCCGGCUAACUUCGUGCCAGCAGCCGCGGUAAUAAGAAGGGGGCUAGCGUUGUUCGGAAUUACUGGGCGUAAAGCGCACGUAGGCGGAUCAGUCAGUUAGGGGUGAAAUCCCAGGGCUCAACCCUGGAACUGCCUUUAAUACUGCUGAUCUAGAGUUCGAGAGAGGUGAGUGGAAUUCCGAGUGUAGAGGUGAAAUUCGUAGAUAUUCGGAGGAACACCAGUGGCGAAGGCGGCUCACUGGCUCGAUACUGACGCUGAGGUGCGAAAGCGUGGGGAGCAAACAGGAUUAGAUACCCCGGUAGUCC